GGGAUUAUGGCCUGUAACCAGGGUGAACUCCUGUCCGUACAAAUAGGGAGUCAAUUUCUUUAAGGCCCAAACCAGGGCCAAACACUCCUUCUCCACUGCCGCAUAGCUAACCUCUUGGGGAAGAAGUUUUUGACUAAUUUAGGCAACAGGGUGCUCUCCGCCAUCCUCUCCCACCUGGCUUAAAACUGCCCCCAGUCUGAACAUUGAAG